AACGAACGCUGGCGGCAUGCCUAACACAUGCAAGUCGAACGAGACCUUCGGGUCUAGUGGCGCACGGGUGCGUAACGCGUGGGAAUCUGCCCUUGGGUUCGGAAUAACUUCGGGAAACUGAAGCUAAUACCGGAUGAUGACGUAAGUCCAAAGAUUUAUCGCCCAAGGAUGAGCCCGCGUAGGAUUAGCUAGUUGGUGAGGUAAAGGCUCACCAAGGCGACGAUCCUUAGCUGGUCUGAGAGGAUGAUCAGCCACACUGGGACUGAGACACGGCCCAGACUCCUACGGGAGGCAGCGGUGGGGAAUAUUGGACAAUGGGCGAAAGCCUGAUCCAGCAAUGCCGCGUGAGUGAUGAAGGCCUUAGGGUUGUAAAGCUCUUUACCGGAUGAUAAUGACAGUACCGGGAGAAUAAGACUCCGGCUAACUCCGUGCCAGCACGCCGCGGUAAUGUGACUACU
rnacentral:rRNA from 1 species